GGCGUUGUAGCUCAGUUGGUAGAGCAGCAGACUGAAAAUUUGCGUGUCCCCGGUUCGAUUCCUGGCAAUGCCA
rnacentral:tRNA from 1 species